CCUACGGGUGGCAGCAGUGAGGAAUAUUGGUCAAUGGACGAAAGUCUGAACCAGCCAAGUCGCGUGAGGGAUGACUGCCCUAUGGAUUGUAAACUUCUUUUAUAAGGGAAUAAAGCGCGGGACGUGUCCCGUUUUGUAUGUACCUUAUGAAUAAGGAUCGGCUAACUCCGUGCCAGCAGCCGCGGUAAUACGGAGGAUCCGAGCGUUAUCCGGAUUUAUUGGGUUUAAAGGGUGCGUAGGUGGGUUUUUAAGUCAGUGGUGAAAGUUUGCGGCUCAACCGUAGAAUUGCAGUUGAAACUGGCAGUCUUGAGUACAGUUGAGGUAGGCGGAAUGCGUGGUGUAGCGGUGAAAUGCUUAGAUAUCACGAAGAACCCCGAUUGCGAAGGCAGCCUGCCAAGCCGUGACUGACGCUGAUGCUCGAAAGCGUGGGGAUCAAACAGGAUUAGAUACCCGUGUAGUC
rnacentral:rRNA from 1 species